rnacentral:lncRNA from 1 species
UAGCUAUUCCAUUAUACUUUGUCUUUAUUAACUUUUGGAUGGAUUCAUCGGAUAAUUUUGAAAUUUUUUCUUUAUAUUUUUCAAUGUAACAUCAUGAUUAUCCAUUGGUAGCUUGAUGAACUUUAAUGAUACUUUUAUUAAGUUAUCUACUGGAAUGAGGUUAGCUUUUGAGAAGAUGUUACCUAGCUAGAUAACCCAA